UGGCUCAGAUUGAACGCUGGCGGCANGCCUUACACAUGCAAGUCGAACGGUAACAGGUCUUCGGAUGCUGACGAGUGGCGAACGGGUGAGUAAUACAUCGGAACGUGCCCGAUCGUGGGGGAUAACGGAGCGAAAGCUUUGCUAAUACCGCAUACGAUCUACGGAUGAAAGCAGGGGACCGCAAGGCCUUGCGCGGACGGAGCGGCCGAUGGCAGAUUAGGUAGUUGGUGGGAUAAAAGCUUACCAAGCCGACGAUCUGUAGCUGGUCUGAGAGGACGACCAGCCACACUGGGACUGAGACACGGCCCAGACUCCUACGGGAGGCAGCAGUGGGGAAUUUUGGACAAUGGGCGAAAGCCUGAUCCAGCCAUGCCGCGUGCAGGAUGAAGGCCUUCGGGUUGUAAACUGCUUUUGUACGGAACGAAAAAGCUCUUUCUAAUAAAGGGGGCUCAUUACGGUACCGUAAGAAUAAGCACCGGCUAACUACGUGCCAGCAGCCGCGGUAAUACGUAGGGUGCAAGCGUUAAUCGGAAUUACUGGGCGUAAAGCGUGCGCAGGCGGUUAUGCAAGACAGAUGUGAAAUCCCCGGGCUCAACCUGGGAACUGCAUUUGUGACUGCAUAGCUAGAGUACGGUAGAGGGGGAUGGAAUUCCGCGUGUAGCAGUGAAAUGCGNANAUAUGCGGAGGA
rnacentral:rRNA from 1 species